rnacentral:rRNA from 1 species
UACGUAGGGCGCAAGCGUUGUCCGGAAUUAUUGGGCGUAAAGAGCUCGUAGGCGGUCUGUCGCGUCUGGUGUGAAAUCCCAUGGCUCAACUGUGGGCUUGCAUCGGGUACGGGCAGACUAGAGUGCUGUAGGGGAGACUGGAAUUCCUGGUGUAGCGGUGGAAUGCGCAGAUAUCAGGAGGAACACCGAUGGCGAAGGCAGGUCUCUGGGCUGUAACUGACGCUGAGGAGCGAAAGCAUGGGGAGCGAACAGG